GGGUUGUGAGGUUAAGCGACUAAGCGUACACGGUGGAUGCCCUGGCAGUCAGAGGCGAUGAAGGACGUGCUAAUCUGCGAUAAGCGUCGGUAAGGUGAUAUGAACCGUUAUAACCGGCGAUUUCCGAAUGGGGAAACCCAGUGUGAUUCGUCACACUAUCAUUAACUGAAUCCAUAGGUUAAUGAGGCGAACCGGGGGAACUGAAACAUCUAAGUACCCCGAGGAAAAGAAAUCAACCGAGAUUCCCCCAGUAGCGGCGAGCGAACGGGGAGGAGCCCAGAGCCUGAAUCAGUGUGUGUGUUAGUGGAAGCGUCUGGAAAGGCGCGCGAUACAGGGUGACAGCCCCGUACACAAAAAUGCACAUACUGUGAGCUCGAUGAGUAGGGCGGGACACGUGGUAUCCUGUCUGAAUAUGGGGGGACCAUCCUCCAAGGCUAAAUACUCCUGACUGACCGAUAGUGAACCAGUACCGUGAGGGAAAGGCGAAAAGAACCCCGGCGAGGGGAGUGAAAAAGAACCUGAAACCGUGUACGUACAAGCAGUGGGAGCCUCUUUAUGGGGUGACUGCGUACCUUUUGUAUAAUGGGUCAGCGACUUAUAUUCUGUAGCAAGGUUAACCGAAUAGGGGAGCCGAAGGGAAACCGAGUCUUAACUGGGCGUUAAGUUGCAGGGUAUAGACCCGAAACCCGGUGAUCUAGCCAUGGGCAGGUUGAAGGUUGGGUAACACUAACUGGAGGACCGAACCGACUAAUGUUGAAAAAUUAGCGGAUGACUUGUGGCUGGGGGUGAAAGGCCAAUCAAACCGGGAGAUAGCUGGUUCUCCCCGAAAGCUAUUUAGGUAGCGCCUCGUGAAUUCAUCUCCGGGGGUAGAGCACUGUUUCGGCAAGGGGGUCAUCCCGACUUACCAACCCGAUGCAAACUGCGAAUACCGGAGAAUGUUAUCACGGGAGACACACGGCGGGUGCUAACGUCCGUCGUGAAGAGGGAAACAACCCAGACCGCCAGCUAAGGUCCCAAAGUCAUGGUUAAGUGGGAAACGAUGUGGGAAGGCCCAGACAGCCAGGAUGUUGGCUUAGAAGCAGCCAUCAUUUAAAGAAAGCGUAAUAGCUCACUGGUCGAGUCGGCCUGCGCGGAAGAUGUAACGGGGCUAAACCAUGCACCGAAGCUGCGGCAGCGACACUAUGUGUUGUUGGGUAGGGGAGCGUUCUGUAAGCCUGUGAAGGUGGCCUGUGAGGGUUGCUGGAGGUAUCAGAAGUGCGAAUGCUGACAUAAGUAACGAUAAAGCGGGUGAAAAGCCCGCUCGCCGGAAGACCAAGGGUUCCUGUCCAACGUUAAUCGGGGCAGGGUGAGUCGACCCCUAAGGCGAGGCCGAAAGGCGUAGUCGAUGGGAAACAGGUUAAUAUUCCUGUACUUGGUGUUACUGCGAAGGGGGGACGGAGAAGGCUAUGUUGGCCGGGCGACGGUUGUCCCGGUUUAAGCGUGUAGGCUGGUUUUCCAGGCAAAUCCGGAAAAUCAAGGCUGAGGCGUGAUGACGAGGCACUACGGUGCUGAAGCAACAAAUGCCCUGCUUCCAGGAAAAGCCUCUAAGCAUCAGGUAACAUCAAAUCGUACCCCAAACCGACACAGGUGGUCAGGUAGAGAAUACCAAGGCGCUUGAGAGAACUCGGGUGAAGGAACUAGGCAAAAUGGUGCCGUAACUUCGGGAGAAGGCACGCUGAUAUGUAGGUGAAGCGACUUGCUCGUGGAGCUGAAAUCAGUCGAAGAUACCAGCUGGCUGCAACUGUUUAUUAAAAACACAGCACUGUGCAAACACGAAAGUGGACGUAUACGGUGUGACGCCUGCCCGGUGCCGGAAGGUUAAUUGAUGGGGUUAGCGCAAGCGAAGCUCUUGAUCGAAGCCCCGGUAAACGGCGGCCGUAACUAUAACGGUCCUAAGGUAGCGAAAUUCCUUGUCGGGUAAGUUCCGACCUGCACGAAUGGCGUAAUGAUGGCCAGGCUGUCUCCACCCGAGACUCAGUGAAAUUGAACUCGCUGUGAAGAUGCAGUGUACCCGCGGCAAGACGGAAAGACCCCGUGAACCUUUACUAUAGCUUGACACUGAACAUUGAGCCUUGAUGUGUAGGAUAGGUGGGAGGCUUUGAAGUGUGGACGCCAGUCUGCAUGGAGCCGACCUUGAAAUACCACCCUUUAAUGUUUGAUGUUCUAACGUUGACCCGUUAUCCGGGUUGCGGACAGUGUCUGGUGGGUAGUUUGACUGGGGCGGUCUCCUCCUAAAGAGUAACGGAGGAGCACGAAGGUUGGCUAAUCCUGGUCGGACAUCAGGAGGUUAGUGCAAUGGCAUAAGCCAGCUUGACUGCGAGCGUGACGGCGCGAGCAGGUGCGAAAGCAGGUCAUAGUGAUCCGGUGGUUCUGAAUGGAAGGGCCAUCGCUCAACGGAUAAAAGGUACUCCGGGGAUAACAGGCUGAUACCGCCCAAGAGUUCAUAUCGACGGCGGUGUUUGGCACCUCGAUGUCGGCUCAUCACAUCCUGGGGCUGAAGUAGGUCCCAAGGGUAUGGCUGUUCGCCAUUUAAAGUGGUACGCGAGCUGGGUUUAGAACGUCGUGAGACAGUUCGGUCCCUAUCUGCCGUGGGCGCUGGAGAACUGAGGGGGGCUGCUCCUAGUACGAGAGGACCGGAGUGGACGCAUCACUGGUGUUCGGGUUGUCAUGCCAAUGGCACUGCCCGGUAGCUAAAUGCGGAAGAGAUAAGUGCUGAAAGCAUCUAAGCACGAAACUUGCCCCGAGAUGAGUUCUCCCUGACUCCUUGAGAGUCCUGAAGGAACGUUGAAGACGACGACGUUGAUAGGCCGGGUGUG
rnacentral:rRNA from 1 species